rnacentral:rRNA from 1 species
AUUGAACGCUGGCGGCAGGCCUAACACAUGCAAGUCGAACGGUAACAGGAAGAAGCUUGCUUCUUUGCUGACGAGUGGCGGACGGGUGAGUAAUGUCUGGGAAACUGCCUGAUGGAGGGGGAUAACUACUGGAAACGGUAGCUAAUACCGCAUAACGUCGCAAGACCAAAGAGGGGGACCUUCGGGCCUCUUGCCAUCGGAUGUGCCCAGAUGGGAGUAGCUAGUAGGUGGGGUAACGGCUCACCUAGGCGACGAUCCCUAGCUGGUCUGAGAGGGUGACCGGAAAGAGGGGAAGAGAGACACGGUGAAGACGCAUACGGGAGGCAGCAGUAGGUAAUGGUGCGAAAUGGGAGAAGGCCUGAAGGAGCAACGCAGCGGGAGGGAGGAAGGACUUCGGAUAGGAAAACUCUGUUAUUAGGGAAGAACAAAUGUGUAAGGAAAAAUGCAGGUCUUGACGGGAACUAAUAAGAAAGCCACGGCUAACGACGUG